CAGUAGCCACGGUAAUACGGAGGGUGCAAGCGUUAAUCGGAAUUACUGGGCGUAAAGCGUGCGUAGGCGGUUCGUUAAGUCUGUUGUGAAAGCCCCGGGCUCAACCUGGGAAUGGCAAUGGAUACUGGCGAGCUAGAGUGUGUCAGAGGAUGGUGGUAUUCCCGGUGUAGCGGUGAAAUGCGUAGAGAUCGGGAGGAACAUCAGUGGCGAAGGCGGCCAUCUGGGACAACACUGACGCUGAGGCACGAAAGCGUGGGGAGCAAACAGGAUUAGAUACCCCGGUAGUCCCUGUCUCUUAUAA
rnacentral:rRNA from 1 species